GGGGGACCGGCGGUCCGGGCGAGGCCUCGGCCGCGCAUCGCACCCCGGCUCCCCGCCGCCGGAGUUGAGGGGGAGGCGCGCUCUCCGUAAGAGCCGGAGGCGGGGCGCCAUCGCCCUCCCACUCCCCGGCGGGCGGGCCGGGGGAGCCCGGGGCUGCGAACACCCCCAGACGGGCGGCUGCGGGAGGGGAGGCUGGACCAAGGGGCCUGGUCCACCGGACCAGCGGUGGCGGCAUCGGCAUCUCGCCUCCUUCAGGCCUGCACGCGCCACAGGCCGCAGCCUGGACCAACCCCGCGUCCCCGGGCCGUGAGCGCUGCGGUCCCGGCCCCCCAGAGCGGGACGCCGGGCGGCCGCAGCCCCCCGGACCCGGCUCUCCGCCCGCUCCGCCCGCAGUCCCGGCGCGGAGAGCGGCCGCCCGAGCCGCUGCCGCGGCAGCGCGGGUGUCGGCGACGGAGCCCGGGGCGGGGAAGAGCGGAGGAAGGGGCGGCGAGGGGGCGGGCCGGCGGCGGCCAGGGAGGUCGGAGUGCGCGGGGCUCGGCACCCCCUCGGCCCGCGCUGCGCCAGCACCACCUGCGGAGCUGCGGUGCCCACGCCGUGCCGCGACCCCGCCGCCCCUGCUCCCUCCACACGCGGGCAAACAAAACAAGUUGCCGGUCGCUGCCGCCGGAGGGGGCCGGGCGGGUCACUCACCCUCAUCCUGCUCAGCGGGCUUGGGUCGUCCGGCCGCGGGGUCAGGGAAGACCAGAGGACCACUAGCCCCAGGAAGCUUCCCACCACCAGCAAACUGCGUGGUGAAUUUGUAACCGAAAGGCCCAGGUGAGAUGUGCAAAUAUCACUGGAUUGGAGGAGCUCACUUGGAAAGCCAGUAUUCCUCCUGAGCUAAUGAAAAGAAAGGCUGUCGUCUUAUGCCAAAAGCAAUACCAACCUUGUUCACGGGCUGAGAUCUAGAGUGUGUAAUUCACGAAGUAUGAAUCUGCUGGGUAAUGUGAUAUGAAAAGCGAAUGCACCAUUUCUUGGUGAUGAUUCAGGUCAGCGUUGGGACCCAGGAAUCUCCUGUUAAUCAGUACCCUGGUGAUUUUGAUCCAGAGACGGGGUCUAUUAUCUGGUCCUGUUGUCAAGGCUGGUCUCAAACUCCUGGCCUCCAGCGAUCCUCCCUUUUUGGCCUCCCAAGAUGCUGGUAUUACAGGCAUGAGCCACCAUGGUCCACCCGGACUCCUUUUCAUAGGAGACAGUUCCCUAGGCAGAGACUGGGCUUGAAACAGACGUAGUCUUGCUCUGUUGCCAGGCUGGAGUGCAGUGGCCCCAUCUCAGCUCACUGCAACCUCUACCUCCCGGGUUCAAGCGAUUCUCCUGCCUCAGCCUCCCGAGUAGCUGGGACUAUAGGCAUGCGCCACCACCCAUCUAAUUUUUGUAUUUUCAGUGGAGAUGGUGUUUCACCGUGUUGGCCAGGAUGGUCUCAAUCUCUUGAACUCAUGAUCCGCCCGCCUUGGCCUCCCAAAGUGCUGGGAUUACAGGCAUGAGCCACCGCGCCUGGCCUAGACCAAGUUCCUUAAGGGCAAGGACCAUGUUCGAAUUUGGCAUUGUGUCUCUAGAUGUUGACCAUGCUUGGCACAGAAGAGAUGCUCAGUAUUAAGAGACUGAACAAGUGAAAAUAUAUUUCCUGUGUUCACUGUUAAGCGUGGGGAAAAAGGAGUUGCAUAAGUAAAAAUACUAAUUUAAAAGCCCUCAGAUUUCACAGUGUGGAACACCACCUCUUCAUAAUUUGGUACUGUUUUUGGACUUCUAUAAUUCGGUAGUCUUCUUAUUUAAGAAGCAUUCUUUAAUAGCUCUUAAAAUAUGAUAAUAUCUAAAUGAUUUGCAGAAGCAUUUUAUAGGUAGAUGGUUUUGCCUUUAUUUGGGUGUUGGGGAAGAAGGGUACAGUAUUCUACAUUUUACCUGACCAAAAAGAGUACUGUAAUUCCUAGAUAAUAAACUGAUAGCUAUUUGAAACUGCCUGUUGGCUCACUGAAGGGAAAAUGCAUUGCCCACAACCUCAUAUCUUUCAUGUGGGAACCCAGUACCUAUAAGACAAACUGGCCUCUCUCUGUUACUAUUGAUAAUCUCUUAGAGCAUAACUUCUAAAUAAUGGGUGGAAUGGAAAGGAACUCUGUCAGUGAAAGGGCUAGAGAACCUGCCCUGCUAUAUGCAGAUUAAGAGAUUUGGCUAGACUCAAAUUUCUAAUUUCCUUUAAAAUGCUCAAAUUUCUUAAAACUAGGGUAUGAAAUGCACUGAAGAAAGACUCAGGUUCUCAGCAGUGUGGUUAGUUAAAUGACCUGAAAGUCUUCAAAACUGGUAUUUAUCAAGGUAUUACUGUAAGUCGUCUUACAGUCUGUGCACAUAAACCUCUCCACCAGCAAGCAGACUAGUUUCAGACAGUUAUCAAUCUGUUAUCACAUCCUUCCAGAGAUCCUGAUUAUCUAGCUAUGCCUAGAACCUGACAUUCUUUAUUGUGGGAACCUAUAAGACAAACUAGCCUCUCUCUUGUUAAUACUGAUUAUCUCUUAGAGCAUAACUUAGACACAACAGGGGUGGAAUAGAAAGAAACUAUGUCAGUGAAAAGGCCAGAUAACCCAUGCUGCCAUAUGUAAAAUGAGAGGUUUGGCUAAACCACAUUGGGCAUAGCUGGAUAAGCAGGAUCCCUGGAGGUGUGUGAAGAUGUGUGGACAGGAGAAAAAAGUCGGAGAGGAGGGGACAUUCCUGUGCUUGACUAUCUUCUGAACGUUUUUUGAUUAAUUUGUAUAAAAUUGGGUUAUUUUAGUAAUGGAGUAUGUCUUCAAGCCUUUUUAGGCAUUUGAGACAUAAACAGUUACACACAAAUAAAGGAACUGAGGUUCAGACUACAGAGAGAUGAUGCGAGAGAUUCUCCCAAAUGAUCCAGGAAUUAAGAGGCUGGACAGGGACUAGAGAUCUGUUAAUUCCAAACCUUUUACUUCCCAACUAUGCCAUCUUGCUAAUGUCCAGAAAUUUCAUCCUUUCUUUAGUUUGUAACAACUGAACAAUGACAAGUACAUUUUCUCUUUUAUUUGAACAUGUGGCUCUGUAUUAAAUGACUAUUUGGAGAGCCACAACAGAGUUGUGAGCUAAGAGUGCUGAUCUUCAGGGGAGCUCAAAAUACUGCCAUUUAGGUAAAUGUACCUUUUAUCAUACUGCAAAGAGUUAUGAAAUUUGAAUUUUAAUUACAUUUCUUUUUUGGAGAGUGAUCUUUGAGGACUUGGUUUUGUGGGAUAACUUCUUUUUUCAAACCAUAUAAAAUUAUUUUUAACAAAUGGCAUCCUUUUGUAUAAUCUUUUCUUGUAUAUUUUUAGAUAUUUCUAUUCAACAUUUUUUGAGCUUGUGUCACGUGCUAUUCAUUGUUCUAGAUGCUGGAAAUACAGCAGUAAACUAAAAGCCAAAAUCCUUGUCCCCAUAGAGUCAGACAAUAAGCCAAAUAUGUAUAUUAUUACAUACUGUUAUUGAAUAAACUGCUGUAUCACCAUGUGCCAAGCCUUAUUCUAAGAGUAUACAAAGAUUAACUCAUUCAUUUAGAUAGCAUGUUAGAAGAUAAAUGCAAUGGAGAGAAAUAAGCCAGGGAAAUGGAAUGUGGAAUGCUGGAGAGGGGUGAGGGGAGGAUUCCAUUUUACACAGUCUGAGAAGAUAAUAUGUGAACAAGACCUGGAGAUGAGGGCACAGCCAAAUGGGUAUCUGAAGGGAGAUGGCUCCAAGCACAAGGAGCAGCAAAUGUGAGGCCUUGAGGCAAGAAUGUUCCUGCUUGUUUGAGGAAAAGCAAGGACAUAAGGACAGCUGUAGCUAAGAAAGUGAAGGGAGAGCAUUAGAUCAUAGUAAAGACUGUGGCACUUAUUUAGAGUGACAGGGGAAGCCAUCGGAGAGUUUGGUGCAGAGGUGGUGUCAUCUAACUUACAUCUAAAUAGGAUCACAGCCUCUGGCUUCUGGGUUUGGUUUGGAAAAGAAAAAGAUAAAAGCAAGUAUCAGUUAGGAGGCCAUUGUGAUAGCAUAGAGUAGGUUUGUAACAGUAGAGGUGGGUAGAAUAUGUCAGAAUGGGGAUAUAUUUUGAUUAUUCUUCAGCUAUUAUGAUUCCAACUAAUUAGGCUUGUUGUUUUGGUUCCUGGCUCUCUAUAAGUAGUUAAAUUAAUAACAUGUAAAGCAAACUCGAAAUGCUC
rnacentral:lncRNA from 1 species